rnacentral:tRNA from 1 species
GCACCUGUGGCGGAACUGGAAGAUGCGGGUGACUUAGGAUCAUCAGUCAUAAGGCGUGGGGGUUCGACUCCCUCCAGGUGCA